GAGGAAUAUUGGUCAAUGGACGGAAGUCUGAACCAGCCAAGUAGCGUGCAGGACGACGGCCCUAUGGGUUGUAAACUGCUUUUGUAUGGGGAUAAAGUUAGGGACGUGUCCCUAUUUGCAGGUACCAUACGAAUAAGGACCGGCUAAUUCCGUGCCAGCAGCCGCGGUAAUACGGAAGGUCCAGGCGUUAUCCGGAUUUAUUGGGUUUAAAGGGAGCGUAGGCUGGAGAUUAAGUGUGUUGUGAAAUGUAGACGCUCAACGUCUGACUUGCAGCGCAUACUGGUUUCCUUGAGUACGCACAACGUUGGCGGAAUUCGUCGUGUAGCGGUGAAAUGCUUAGAUAUGACGAAGAACUCCGAUUGCGAAGGCAGCUGACGGGAGCGCAACUGACGCUUAAGCUCGAAGGUGCGGGUAUCAAACAGGAUUAGAUACCCUGGUAGUCCGCACAGUAAACGAUGGAUGCCCGCUGUUGGUACCUGGUAUCAGCGGCUAAGCGAAAGCAUUAAGCAUCCCACCUGGGGAGUACGCCGGCAACGGUG
rnacentral:rRNA from 1 species